CGCCUGGGGAGUACGGUCGCAAGAUUAAAACUCAAAGGAAUUGACGGGGGCCUGCACAAGCGGUGGAGCAUGUGGUUUAAUUCGGAGCAACGCGCAGAACCUUACCAGCCUUUGACAUCCUAGGACGGUUUCUGGAGACAGACUCCUUCCCUUCGGGGACCUAGUGACAGGUGCUGCAUGGCUGUCGUCAGCUCGUGUCGUGAGAUGUUGGGUUAAGUCCCGCAACGAGCGCAACCCUCGUCCUUAGUUGCCAUCAUUUAGUUGGGCACUUUAAGGAAACUGCCGGUGAUAAGCCGGAGGAAGGUGGGGAUGACGUCAAGUCCUCAUGGCCCUUACAGGCUGGGCUACACACGUGCUACAAUGGCAUCUACAGUGGGCAGCUAUCCCGCAAGGGUGAGCUAAUCUCCAAAAGAUGUCUCAGUUCGGAUUGUCCUCUGCAACUCGAGGGCAUGAAGGCGGAAUCGCUAGUAAUCGCGGAUCAGCAUGCCGCGGUGAAUACGUUCCCAGGCCUUGUACACACCGCCCGUCACACCAUGGGAGUUGGAUUCACCCGAAGGCAGUGCGCUAACCGCAAGGAGGCA
rnacentral:rRNA from 1 species